ACUCACGUCAGAGUAAACAUGGCGCCUGACAGGGAGACAAUGUGAGCUCAGUAGAACACCGGCGCGCUGACUGAUGGUCGAGAUUUGGCGGGAUAUAGUACUCACCGCGUGUACCAUUUGAAAUCGAUAGCCAGUUUUGUCGUGAUAUGCUUAUAAUGGCGAACCAGCGGAUGUUUCCACACUACCGGUCCUGCUGUUUAAACGUUCGAUACAAAUUUAACUACUGAAUUGUGAUCCCGGCCGUUAGUCAGAAAGUCUCUGUGUUCGGAGUCUCACACAGCUCCCCUCGUGCUGGCGGACUAUCGGCCCCCUUAACUGUCCCCUGACUGUCAUUGAUUAGCAAACAUGUCACAGAGACGUCAGGUUCCCAUCAACCGGACACGAAUCUCAUUUACCAUUCUUAGGAUUUUUUAAUUCUUCUUCUCUCCCAAUGUUUACUGAUGCUUUGUGACAAUUUAGCGCCAUCUCUAAGGAUUAUCUUGCCCGCGCGCCCCGUCUUGCGCUGGCCUGUGAUGGGAUUACGACUGGUGAACCCAGCCCUUGGACUGUGAUCAACCAACAUGGAAGUCCUUUCACUUAUUAAAAGUUCCCUGGGUUCCGAGGACUCGAACCCGAUCCACCGACUGUACCGCGUGGGUCAGCAGGUGGGGGUGUGUGGACAGGAGAACGUGUGGCGGAUCCACGAGGCGGAGAGUAUCGAGGAGGAAAAGGGUGCUUCUGUUUUCAUUUUUAACAAAAAAGUCGCCAACAAACUUCACAAACCUCGGCGACGAGAGCAGGUGUCCGAGAUCUUACGUCAUGACGUCACACUUCUCAACAAAAUGUCAAACGCCUCCGUCCUUACUGUGUCCAGCAGUCUACAGGAAGACAGAGAGAGCUUGGCUUUUGCCGCGGAGCCCGUGGCUGGCAGUUUAGCAAACUAUCUGGAGAAGUUUGACAGAUCAUGUACAGAACUUUCCAAAACAACGUGUGGUUUGAUGGAACACGAAGUCCAGUGUGGCAUUUACCAGAUCACCGAGGCCUUGAUGUACGUCCACGGCGUCGAACGCGUCAUCCACAGGAACGUUAACCCCGCCUCCAUCCUCAUCACCCAAUCAGGACGCUGGAAACUAGCCUGCUUUGGAUUUGCCGAAAAAACUCAAGAUGGAAGGGAAUCUUUCGCGUGUAAAGCAUGGAGUCCCAAGGCGUCAAAGAUGGCGCAACCAGAUUUGAAUUACAUUGCGCCGGAAAUUCAAACGACUGAAGUGUGCACAUACGUGAGCGAUAUGUUCUCGUUCGGGAUGCUGAUUUGUACGAUCUACAAUAAUGGCUACUCCCUGAUCGACGCUCAGUAUAACCCUAGUACCUACCUUAGACAGUUAGACACGUUGACACAGAAGUUCGGAGACAUUGCCCGCGCCAUGCCCCCGGCUCUUGUGGACCCCGUGGAAAAGAUGAUCAACCGGGACAUCCGGUACCGCCCUACCGCGCAGCUCUUCUCUCUGUUGAAGAUGUUUCACGACCCCACCGUCACCACCCUACAACAGCUGGACAACCUCCACUUGAAGAGUCCCUCCGAUAAAUCUCAAGUUUUUUCCAUCAUAACGCAGAACAUUCCACUACUUCCGAAGGCUAUUCGUUGUUCCCGUCUAUUACCUAGCCUGCACCAGGAGUGUACGUCACGUGACUCUGUUGCCACCGCGUUACCUCCCCUUGUGUCGCUGGUUCAGCACUCUUCCUCAGAGGAGUUUUCACAACAUGUCUUUCCAGAAAUAACGUUCGUGUUCAAUUGCUCAAUGUCUGAACAGGGCACUGUGUAUCUUCUGAAUAAAAUCGAUGUCAUAGCAUCCAAAUGCACCUCCAACCAAGUCCGCACUGAUGUUAUUCCGUUUAUCCUCAAGCAUAUUAAAUCGGAGUCCUAUAAAAUUCAGGAAGCCGCCCUGAACGCCUUACUUGUAGUCAAGGAUUGUUUAGACGACGCUCUUCUAAGAAGCAACGUUCUCCCUUGUACCAAGGGACAAUUCCAACAGACGGUCGAUGUCAAGAUAAAGCUUAUAAUUCUGUCCUGUAUAAAACAUUUGCUGAGCAUCAUGAACCCAUUCACCAUUAGAGACGACGUCCUUCCAUUUCUUGUCGACAUUGCAAAUUCCCAUGAUGCAUCAGUUGUAAUGGCGGUUGUUGGUAUAUAUAGACACUUAUUGAAUAAAAGGGACGCCGUGUUAACCAAAGUCUUUCUGGCGCGUAGUGGAAUGCCGUCUCUUCUACCCCAUGUUGUGGAUCCAGACUUCAGCGCCGAUCAGUUCUGUGUGAUGAUGGACGUGCUCUAUGAGAUGCUGGGACUGAUUGACCAGCACAGGAGAAGUAACGGAACCUCAAGCUCCGCCUCCUCCUUCAAAAGAGAGCGGCUUGCCUCUGGAGGGAGUGAUAAGAACUUGCUGUUUGUUGCUAAUUCUUCAUCAACGGGGAUACAGAAAAGCAGAACAGCACCGAAUAGCCCAGAGCUUUCAAAGAUAAAGGUAAUAUAUAUGUGGUAACUGAUAUUAGAAACUUGUUUGUCAUAUACGUGUGUAAUCAUAUUCUUAUUUAUGUAAUGUUAGAGAUCUGGAGUUAAAGUUGAUGUUAGAUACUAUAUAUAAAAUGUCACUGAGUACUCAGGUUAUUAUGCAGUUGUUUGCGUAUGCUGCUGUUUUGGUCUGUUGUACAGGGUCGUCUAUUUCCAGCAUCCGUCAUUUUAUGCUGAUAUUUUGGAGAUAUACCUGUAUACAAAUCAAUGCUGUUAUUAUAUAUCACAUGUAUUAAAACACAACGACACUAAUGUUGAGACACGCGUUGACUUGAGUGUCGUUUUACAGUAAAUACAAAUUGCAGCAUAACAAUAUCUUAAUAUCAUGACGAAGUUCUGCGAUGAAUAAGUUGAAAUUGAAACAGCGUAAAGUCUCAUUAUUGUAAAUAAGAAGGAAGUCGACACAUCAUUAACUCUGAAAAAAAACUAGUUGUUUCCGCUGGAGCCCGAGGGAGAGUUCAACGUCUCCAUAGGAACCAAGGUCAGAUGAUCGGUGAUCAUUAUUUCGCUGAGUUGACACAAAUUGUUUUCUAUCCUAGGGUCCCCGAGGAAAAUAUUUGAAUAUAAUUUAUAUAUAGCUUACAGUUUUUAAUGUAAUUUGCUGAAUUCCUUGUAUCUCUGUAUUUUUUAAAGGAAAGAGAAACUCUAUCAGUGACCAAUAAGGAACCUUUGCGCCGAUUCAGCCUGGUACCCCCCGGGGGAGGCACCCCGGCCAUCAACCUGACCCCAGACGACGGCGUGUAUGCGGACAGAAAUCGACGUCCAAGUCUACAGAAUAUGGGUCAUUAUAACCACGACUCGGAGCGCUGUGAACGUAAGAGUAGCACUGGGAGUCUGUUUAACUUCUCCGACUCCCGACAUUCCUCUCCCCGCCGGGGCAGUUUCCAGGCCCUGGGGGACACUGUGAUGCAGCUCUUCUCUGGGAAGUAGUGCGUUAUCCGGAGUGCGAUCUUUGUGAUGGAGCCGACAGACAGAGUAUUAUAGAUACUGUAAUUGUUUCUUGUUUGUGUGCUUCAAAGAAGACGCCGAAUAUUUGCCAUACUGUGAAUAAUGAUGCUUUAUUCAGUUUUUUUCUGCGUGUAUUUUAUAUAUUGUUUAAAAAAUUCAUCUUGUUUUGUACAGUAAAAUAUUUAUGAC
rnacentral:misc_RNA from 1 species